rnacentral:rRNA from 1 species
GGUGGGGUAACGGCUCACCUAGGCGACGAUCCCUAGCUGGUCUGAGAGGAUGACCAGCAACACUGGAACUGAGACACGGUCCAGACUCCUACGGGAGGCAGCAGUGGGGAAUAUUGCACAAUGGGCGCAAGCCUGCUGCAGCCAUGCCGCGUGUGUGAAGAAGGCCUUCGGGUUGUAAAGCACUUUCAGCGGGGAGGAAGGCGAUUAGGUUAAUAACCUUGUCGAUUGACGUUACCCGCAGA